GUGACUGUGGCUCAGUAGGAAGAGUAGUUGUCUUGCAAUCAGAAGGUUGUGGGUUCGAUUAUGCCAUAUGUCAAUGUGCCACU